GUAUAUUAAAGUUGUUGCAGUUAAAAAGCUCGUAGUUGAAACUUGGGCCUGGCUGGCAGGUCCGCCUCACCGCGUGUACUUGUCCGGCCGGGCCUUUCCUUCUGGAGAACCUCAUGCCCUUCACUGGGUGUGUUGGGGAACCAGGACUUUUACUUUGAAAAAAUUAGAGUGUUCAAAGCAGGCCUUUGCUCGAAUACGUUAGCAUGGAAUAAUAGAAUAGGACGUGCGGUCCUAUUUUGUUGGUUUCUAGGACCGCCGUAAUGAUUAAUAGGGACAGUCGGGGGCAUCAGUAUUCAAUUGUCAGAGGUGAAAUUCUUGGAUUUAUUGAAGACUAACUACUGCGAAAGCAUUUGCCAAGGAUGUUUUCAUUAAUCAGUGAACGAAAGUUAGGGGAUCGAAGACGAUCAGAUACCGUCGUAGUCUUAACCGUAAACUAUGCCGACUAGGGAUCGGGCGAUGUUCUUUUUCUGACUCGCUCGGCACCUUACGAGAAAUCAAAGUUUUUGG
rnacentral:rRNA from 1 species